rnacentral:rRNA from 1 species
GACGAACGCUGGCGGCGUGCUUAACACAUGCAAGUCGAACGGAAAGGCCCUGCUUGCAGGGUACUCGAGUGGCGAACGGGUGGGUAACACGUGGGUGAUCUGCCCUGCACUUCGGGAUAAGCCUGGGAAACUGGGUCUAAUACCGGAUAGGAGCCAUUUUUAGUGUGAUGGUUGGAAAGUUUUUUCGGUGUAGGAUGAGCUCGCGGCCUAUCAGCUUGUUGGUGGGGUAAUGGCCUACCAAGGCGGCGACGGGUAGCCGGCCUGAGAGGGUGGACGGCCACAUUGGGACUUAGGUACGGCCCAGGAUCCUACGGGAGGGAGCAGGGGGGAAUAUUGGACAAUGGGCGCAAGCCUGAUGCAGCGACGCCGCGGGGGGGAUGACGGGCUUCGGGUUGUAAAACCGUUUCGCUAGGGACGAAGCUUUUUGUGACGGUACCUAGAUAAGAAGCACCGGCUAACUACGUG